CCCUUAGAUGUUCUGGGCCGCACGCGUGCUACACUGAGUGGAUCAGCGGGUCAGGUUGCGCGAAAGCGUUUCCUAAUCUUUAAAUCCGCUCGUGAUGGGGAUUGACGGUUGCAAUUUUCUGUCAUGAACGAGGAAUACCUUGUAAGCGCGGGUCAUCAUCCCGCGCUGAAUACGUCCCUGCCCUUUGUACACACCGCCCGUCGCUCCUACCGAUUGAGUGGUCCGGUGAGGCUUUGGGAUCUGAGCGGAAAGAGCGUUUCGCUGUUUCUGCUCGGAAAACUCAGUCGAACCUUAUCAUUUAGAGGAAGGAGAAGUCGCAACA
rnacentral:rRNA from 1 species